AAGAGGAUUGUUCCAACAGUCCAUAACUCCAGGUGCCAUGGAGAACUGGGGCCUUGUUACUUAUAGGGAGACUGCAUUGCUUAUUGAUCCAAAAAAUUCCUGUUCUUCAUCCCGCCAGUGGGUUGCUCUGGUUGUGGGACAUGAACUCGCCCAUCAAUGGUUUGGAAAUCUUGUUACUAUGGAAUGGUGGACUCAUCUUUGGUUAAAUGAAGGUUUUGCAUCCUGGAUUGAAUAUCUGUGUGUAGACCACUGCUUCCCAGAGUAUGAUAUUUGGACUCAGUUUGUUUCUGCUGAUUACACCCGUGCCCAGGAGCUUGACGCCUUAGAUAACAGCCAUCCUAUUGAAGUCAGUGUGGGCCAUCCAUCUGAGGUUGAUGAGAUAUUUGAUGCUAUAUCAUAUAGCAAAGGUGCAUCUGUCAUCCGAAUGCUGCAUGACUACAUUGGGGAUAAGGACUUUAAGAAAGGAAUGAACAUGUAUUUAACCAAGUUCCAACAAAAGAAUGCUGCCACAG
rnacentral:sRNA from 2 species